rnacentral:rRNA from 1 species
ACGUAGGGGGCAAGCGUUGUCCGGAAUCAUUGGGCGUAAAGAGCGCGUAGGCGGCCCGGUAAGUCCGCUGUGAAAGUCAAAGGCUCAACCUUUGAAUGUCAGCGGAUACUGCCGGGCUAGAGUCCGGAAGAGGCGAGUGGAACUCCUGGUGUAGCGGUGGAAUGCGCAGAUAUCAGGAAGAACACCAACGGCGAAGGCAGCUCGCUGGGACGGAACUGACGCUGAGGCGCGAAAGCGUGGGGAGCGAACAGGA